rnacentral:rRNA from 1 species
AACGAACGCUGGCGGCAUGCCUAACACAUGCAAGUCGAACGAGACCUUCGGGUCUAGUUGCGCACGGGUGCGUAACGCGUGGGAACCUUCCCUUAGGUUCGGAAUAACUCCCCGAAAGGGGUGCUAAUACCGGAUAAUUUCUUCGGACCAAAGAUUUAUCGCCUUUGGAUGGGCACGCGUUGGAUUAGCUAGUUGGUAGGGUAAAAGCCUACCAAGGCGACGAUCCAUAGCUGGUCUGAGAGGAUGAUCAGCCACACUGGGACUGAGACACGGCCCAGACUCCUACGGGAGGCAGCAGUGGGGAAUAUUGGACAAUGGGCGAAAGCCUGAUCCAGCAAUGCCGCGUGAGUGAUGAAGGCCUUAGGGUUGUAAAGCUCUUUUACCCGGGAUGAUAAUGACAGUACCGGGAGAAUAAGCUCCGGCUAACUCCGUG